rnacentral:misc_RNA from 1 species
CUUCAUGGAGGUAAUACUGUCUUUGGAGUUGUGAUUUUUGUGCUUCUCUUGAUUUUCUACAGUGUUGGGUUCUUGUAUAUUACCAUAAUUUGGCAUUUGGCAAGUGUGAUUUCUGUUUUAGAGGAAAUUUAUGGGAUCAAAGCCAUGAUCAAGAGCAGGAACUUGAUAAAGGGUAAGCUUGGGGUUGCAGUGGCUCUUUUUAUUUUGCUGGGGAUUUGUUUUGGUGGAAUUCAACUUCUUUUUGAGGCAUUUGUGGUGCUGGAAUGGCCACAAGACUUGGGAAUCAGAAUUGGAAUUGGAAUCCUUUGCUUCUU